rnacentral:rRNA from 1 species
CCUACGGGCGGCAGCAGUGGGGAAUAUUGCACAAUGGGCGCAAGCCUGAUGCAGCCAUGCCGCGUGUGUGAAGAAGGCCUUCGGGUUGUAAAGCACUUUCAGCGGGGAGGAAGGCGGUGAGGUUAAUAACCUCAUCGAUUGACGUUACCCGCAGAAGAAGCACCGGCUAACUCCGUGCCAGCAGCCGCGGUAAUACGGAGGGUGCAAGCGUUAAUCGGAAUUACUGGGCGUAAAGCGCACGCAGGCGGUCUGUCAAGUCGGAUGUGAAAUCCCCGGGCUCAACCUGGGAACUGCAUUCGAAACUGGCAGGCUAGAGUCUUGUAGAGGGGGGUAGAAUUCCAGGUGUAGCGGUGAAAUGCGUAGAGAUCUGGAGGAAUACCGGUGGCGAAGGCGGCCCCCUGGACAAAGACUGACGCUCAGGUGCGAAAGCGUGGGGAGCAAACAGGAUUAGAUACUCUUGUAGUC